rnacentral:rRNA from 1 species
CCUGGCUCAGAUUGAACGCUGGCGGCAUGCCUUACACAUGCAAGUCGAACGGCAGCACGGGAGCAAUCCUGGUGGCGAGUGGCGAACGGGUGAGUAAUAUAUCGGAACGUGCCCAGUCGUGGGGGAUAACGUAGCGAAAGCUACGCUAAUACCGCAUACGAUCUAUGGAUGAAAGCGGGGGAUCGCAAGACCUCGCGCGAUUGGAGCGGCCGAUAUCAGAUUAGGUUGUUGGUGAGGUAAAAGCUCACCAAGCCGACGAUCUGUAGCUGGUUUGAGAGAACGACCAGCCACACUGGGACUGAGACACGGCCCAGACUCCUACGGGAGGCAGCAGUGGGGAAUUUUGGACAAUGGGCGAAAGCCUGAUCCAGCAAUGCCGCGUGCAGGAAGAAGGCCUUCGGGUUGUAAACUGCUUUUGUACGGAACGAAAAGGCUCUUUCUAAUAAAGAGGGCCCAUGACGGUACCGUAAGAAUAAGCACCGGCUAACUACGUG